AUACAUUUUUGAACGGCAAAUAACUUCUAGUUUCCGAAAAUAUACGGGUUUCGCGAUUUUUCUUGUUUAUUUUGUGUGUUUUUGUUUGUUUUAUGACUUGGUGCUGUACAGUGUAUUUUAGGUCUGGAAAAGGUGUAAGUUGGCAACACUUUUUUACUGUUCCUGGCUCACAACUAUUUGAAGUUAUGUUUUGAUCUCACAAAAAACAUGACAACAAAUACGUGCUCGCAAAAGUUGGAUUUCUAAAAGUUUUAAAAAAUGGACAUUUUUGCAAACCGGAUGCAGAAGCACCGCAGAAAAUUGAAAGAGGACCCAGCUGCCUAUAAAGCCCACCUGGCUAAAGAAAGGCUGAGAGACAAGAUUAGGAAACAGCGAAGAAGAGAAUAUUUAAAAAAUCAUCCAUCAGAUGCGGAGGCUGUUAAGAAGAAAGAUGCAGAACGGAAGCGCCGCAAAAGAGCAGAACAGAAA